GACGUAGGGGGCCAGCGUUGUUCGGAAUUACUGGGUGUAAAGGGUUCGUAGGCGGUGUGGCAAGUCGGGAGUGAAAUCUCUGGGCUCAACUCAGAGACUGCUUCCGAAACUGCUGUGCUGGAGUGUGGGAGAGGCGCGUGGAAUUGCAGGUGUAGCGGUGAAAUGCGUAGAUAUCUGCAGGAACACCCGUGGCGAAGGCGGCUCACUGGCCCGAGACUGACGCUGAGGCACGAAAGCGUGGGGAGCAAACAGG
rnacentral:rRNA from 1 species